rnacentral:rRNA from 1 species
UACAGAGACUGCGAGCGUUAUUCGGAUUCACUGGGCGUAAAGGGUGCGCAGGCGGCCGUGUGUGUGAGGCGUGAAAGCCCGGGGCUUAACCCCGGAAUUGCACCUCAAACUACACGGCUAGAGCAUUGGAGAGGGUAGCGGAAUUCACGGUGUAGCAGUGAAAUGCGUAGAUAUCGUGAGGAACACCAGAGGCGAAGGCGGCUACCUGGACAAUUGCUGACGCUCAGGCACGAAAGCUAGGGGAGCAAACAGG